rnacentral:misc_RNA from 1 species
AACGCAAAUUGCACUCUUUGGUAUUCCGAAGAGUAUGCCUGUUUGAGGGUCAGUUAAAUAAAAAUCGGUGUUGUUGCUGCUUUUUUGUGGUGACGCUUCGGAUCUGGGUCGUCUUACCUUCGGUUAAGUGACCUAAAAUUUUGAAUGAUUUUUCGAACGUAUUUAAAUUAUUUACGUACGUUUGUGAUAUCGAACAUAUUAGAUGUGGUCAUUCUCGUUGAUUCGCGUCUAUAAUUUUUUUGUAAAAUGACCUCAAAUCAGGUAAGAGUACCCGCUGAACUUAA